rnacentral:rRNA from 1 species
AUUGAACGCUGGCGGCAUGCCUUACACAUGCAAGUCGAACGGUAACGGGCCUUCGGGUGCCGACGAGUGGCGAACGGGUGAGUAAUACAUCGGAACGUGCCCGAUCGUGGGGAUAACGAGGCGAAAGCUUUGCUAAUACCGCAUACGAUCUACGGAUGAAAGCAGGGGACCGCAAGGCCUUGCGCGGACGGAGCGGCCGAUGGCAGAUUAGGUAGUUGGUGGGAUAAAAGCUUACCAAGCCGACGAUCUGUAGCUGGUCUGAGAGGAUGAUCAGCCACACUGGGACUGAGACACGGCCCAGACUCCUACGGGAGGCAGCAGUGGGGAAUUUUGGACGAUGGGCGCAAGCCUGAUCCAGCCAUGCCGCGUGCAGGAUGAAGGCCUUCGGGUUGUAAACUGCUUUUGUACGGAACGAAAAGCCUUCUUUUAAUACAGGAGGGUCAUGACGGUACCGUAAGAAUAAGCACCGGCUAACUACGUG